rnacentral:rRNA from 1 species
CCUACGGGAGGCAGCAGUAAGGAAUAUUGGACAAUGCCCGGAAGGGUGAUCCAGCCAUCCCGCGUGCAGGAUGAAUGCCCUAUGGGUUGUAAACUGCUUUUCUCAGGGAAGAAAAAGACCGAUUUAUCGGGACCUGACGGUACCUGAGGAAUAAGCACCGGCUAACUCCGUGCCAGCAGCCGCGGUAAUACGGAGGGUGCAAGCGUUAUCCGGAUUCACUGGGUUUAAAGGGUGCGUAGGUGGGCGAUUAAGUCAGAGGUGAAAGCUUACCGCUUAACGGUAAAAUUGCCUUUGAUACUGGUUGCCUUGAGUUCGGUUGAGGUGGGCGGAAUGUAGCAUGUAGCGGUGAAAUGCAUAGAUAUGCUACAGAACACCCAUUGCGUAGGCAGCUCACUAAACCGAUACUGACGCUGAGGCACGAAAGCGUGGGGAGCAAACAG